rnacentral:rRNA from 1 species
AUGGCGAGCGACGGCGACGAGGCUCCCGCGGGGGUGGCCGGGAAGGUGACCUGCGCGGCGUGGAUACGACGCCCGAGCGGCGGGCCGGCCGUGUCCAGCAGCCGCAGUCUCCUCGUGGUGUACGGCCGCGGCGCCACUCCCUCAUCCCCGCCAUUCCUCGACCUCCUCGCCUUCGACACCAGGGCGUGCGAGCUCGCCUCCGAGCCCCUGCUGAGGGUCGUGAUGGGCGAGGAGGGAGCCGACGCGGACACGCCGCGCGCCAUCGCCGUGCACCCCGCCGGCGACGAGUUCGUCUGCGCCACCGCCAAAGGCUGCAGGCUGUUCAAGCUGGUCUAUGACGACUUCUGUAUCAACCUUGUUUCGAGAGAUUCCUCGGCACUCCAAUCAGUUGGGCCUCAGCGAUGUUUGGCAUUCAGUACUGAUGGUACUAAGUUUGCUAUUGGUGGUGAGGAUGGUCAUCUAAGAAUAUUUCACUGGCCAAGCCUCAUUGUGCUUUUGGAUGAACCUAAAGCUCAUAAAUCCUUCAGGGACAUGGACAUCAGCUUGGAUUCAGCGUUUCUAGUAUCAACUUCAACUGAUGGUUCUGCAAGAAUAUGGAAGAUUGAUGAGGGAGCUCCACUCGUAAAUUUGACUAGAUCUUCGGAUGAGAGGAUUGAGUGUUGCCGCUUUUCUAGGGAUGGGAAGAAACCUUUUCUGUUUUGCACACUUGUAAAAGGAAAUGAUAUCGUGACUAUGGUUUUGAACAUAAGUAACUGGAAGAGAAUUGGAUACAAAAGACUCCUGCGAAAGCCCAUUUCAACACUUUCAGUUAGCUUGGAUGGGAAGUAUCUCGCACUAGGAAGCCAUGAUGGCGACUGUUGUGUUGCCGAUGUACAGAAGAUGCAAGUUUCUCACUUGAUCAAGAAGGUCCAUCUUGGCUCCCCAAUUUCCUCCAUUGAAUUUUGCCCUACUGAAAGGAUUGUGAUCUCCACCUCGCAUCAAUGGGGAGCAGAGAUAACGAAGCUCGACGUCCCUGCCGACUGGAGAGUUUGGCAAAUUUGGCUGGUAUUCUUGAGCCUCUUUGCGACGUCGGCGAUCCUGUUCUACACGAUCUUCAAGCACACAAACCUGGUGUAA